UUUAACGGCGGUUCCGACAAGCAACACUAAAACAGCUGUAAUCAACAAUGAGGUACCCAUUUCUUUCUCUCUAGCUAUCUCUCACACACUUACACUCUAAACUGUGUGCUCGGUUGUUUCUUUUAACUUUUGUCUGCAAAACUCUACGUUCAUGUGGGAGACUGAGGGUGGUUGGUUUGGGUUGAGGGAAAGGAAAGGGAGGGAAGCUUAAAUAGUGACGAAUGGCGGAGGUGAAAUGACGGGAUUAACCCUCACGUGUGAUGUGUGAGGAAGGGUGAACAGGUCAACGUGGGUAGGGGAUAAGAUUGGGGAUAGAGAAGGCAACGAAUAAUGAGAGAGGUUGAUUGAGAGUGAAAGGACUGAGGAGGUAAAAUAUCGAACCGCGUGUCAUGUGCUUAUCCAGGUCCUAUUAAUUGACUGCACGGCUUAACCAUACGUCUGCAACUCUGCAUACAUACAUUUUAUGGUAAUAAGUAAGGACAUAUAUGCAUGUAGAUAAUGAUGAAAUCCUGCUUAAAAGUUAAAACCAGCUUUCAAGUUUCAAGUAUGGUUUGUUUACGUUAUUAGUAUUAUUUUUCUAUUCAAGUUUUUAAAUUACUUUUACUACUUUGCAUAUCCGACAUUCGUUGAUUAUUUAUAAAUGAGACAUCAAAUGAAAGAUAUUCCAACAUAUAAGCAUUAUUGUCGUUUUCUUUUUCAUACUUGGAUAACUCAAUUUGUAUUGCUUACUCAAACUAGGCGAGAAUGCAUACUUGUGAAUAUAAAGCAUCAAUUAGAUUAGCACCCAUUUGGUCUAAAUAUUAAGACCAAGGAUAGUGGUUGUGGCUGAGGCCGUACCCCGUAUGUCACAUAAACACAAACACCGUUCCCUGGGUGUGCCGGCGGUACAGGUGCGGCUGAGGCCGUAUUAUGGCCUUGGGAGGGAGCGUUUCUUGGAUUCCUUUGAUUGGUCAAUAUUCCUACCGUUUGCAAACGGUCAAAAUUCAAAAAAAUUAAUGUUUUUUUACUAACACUAUAAAUACAUUAUCAUAUUAACCAAAAUCAUUCACAAACACUUUAUUUUAUUUUUUUACAAUCUUCUUUUUUUUUUAAACCCACAAAAAUGUCAUCCUCAAAAAGUCUCACAAACCAAAAAAACACCCAUUAGAAAAACCACAAUUUCAAUACAUUCACUCGAUCAACCGGUUUAUUCAUCUCCUUUCUACCACUACAGGGGUAUGCUUCCUUAUUUUUCGCAACAUAUCCAAAACCACAACGCCCUACGCAACCAUUUCCUCAAACACAACAACAGUUUGAUCCAAAUUUUGAUCCUUUUGAUUUUGAUUCUCAACUAGAGUUUGUUUAAUAAACACAAUCACAACCACAAACACCCAUUUCUGAAUCCGAACCAGAAUUUGUUCCACAAACUCAACCCUCUCAACCAGGAAAUAAAAGAAAAGAGAAGGCAGAAUCUAAAAUGUGGGAACCUCAAGAAGUGUUAGUAUUAGCAUAAUCAUGGAUUAACGUUACAAAGGAUGCGAAGACGGGAGAGGACCAAAAAACAUGAUUGUUUUUGGAUGUGCGUUAGAGCUAAGAUUCCACGAUGGAAUGAACCUACAACCAUAUUGUACUAAACAUCAAGUGUACUCAAAAUGGGGAAAGAUGAACAAAGACGUCAUGUUGUUAAACGAUUUAUAUAACAACAUGAAACGACAAUGGAAAAGCGGCGAAAGCGACGAUGUGAUCUUGGAGAAAGCUUUUAACAUUUAUCAAAAGGAGCAAAAGAAGACUUUCAAAUUUUUUGAAGUUUGCAAUCUACUCAAAGGCAACAAAUAAUGGCAAAAUCUAAAAACUGUCACACCCCAAAACCAGGAUGGCAGAAACGUUCCGAGGUGGAGGACGUCAUGUUUAGUAUCACAACCAUUGUACAAUAGCAAUCGUAGUAACACAACCAUUACAAUGAAUAUAUAUGAAAAGUGUUUACAUCAGUCUGAAACUUGUUUUAAUUACAACAAAAGUAUGUAGAAUAUAAAAACAUGACUCUUAUUGCUCUAGUUCCUUUAAAUCCAAAAAGUACCUGUCUACCGAUUUCUUGAGAAUACGAGCAGUUUAAAAGAAUAUCAGCAAAAGCUGGUGAGUUCAUAAGCAUUUAGUUUUAAUGGAGAAAUGUUCUUUGAUUCUUUUGAAAAGAGUUCCUCAAGAAAAUCCCAUAUUUUCUUAUGACAAGUAGUGUUGAGAGAGUAUCUAUUAGUAGAAAAUAAAUCGUCAGUUUUAGAAAUACCGGCGUUAUCCUGGAAAAAUCUCAUAUUUUCCCUAAAAACAGGUUAACCGUCCUAGAGGUAGAGAUGCUAGUUUAGAAGUCCCUGAUUACUAUUAGUGUAUUUAUGAAAGUAGUUUUAUUACUCAAAAUAAACAAAUAGGAGUAGAGUUCGUAAACCAAAGUUAGUUUAUACUUAUUUGCGAGUCGUAUAACCAUACUUGAUAUGACCGAGAGACCUUUAUAACAUUCUUCAGGCGUUAAGCUAAAUGACAUUUGUUCACCCCAGGCAUGCCUGCCUAACUGUAGUUAGCAGUUCAGGUGUGGGAUUGUCAGUCCCGAAUAGAUCUAUUCACAAUCUCACGCUCUCCCUCCAGGAAACUCUGGUUAUACUAAAAGGAUUUAUCCCUGUACACCUAAGGGUACAAUAUUGAAGUAGCGCCUCACAAUUCGAUAUAAUCUAGUUCACUAGCGGGAAACAGUAUAAAAUAGUAAUUAUCCUUGAAUAAUUGUACUUUAUACUCCUAAGAAAAUAUAUAACAUAAACUAAAUAUGUCAUAGUUUAUACAUAUUCAUUUAUGAAGUCUGAUUUGGUAGAGACUGCCUAGAGUGUUAUCCCAAACUAUACCCAUUAUAGUUUAUUAGAGUUGAUAUAGAAAAUGCUUUGUAAAAACCUUUCUGAAAGCGAUGAAGUUAGAUUUCCAAAUUAAGAGUUUCCCUUAUGCUCAACAUAUUACAAAAAAAGGAUAAAAUAUCUAAAUAUGUUAUUAGAUAUGGAAAUCAUUAGCUGCAUUAAUAAGUUUAAAACUUAAUAAAAUACUUUGAGNNNNNNNNNNNNNNNCCCACCCUGAAAACAUUAAAAACACGGAAAAAUGUAGGGGUAUGAACUCACCUUGAGCGGGUGGUUUGUUUAAAGGAUCGAUACGGAAAGCUGGAUGCUCAAGUGAAACCCUGAACACAAUUUGAUCCUAAACAACACAUAGUGACACAUAAAUGAGUCAAAUGAGGGUAUCUCACUACUAGAUGUGAUGGAGAACAACUCUAGGGACUUGGAACUACUUGCAUUAAGUGUUGGGACCUUGUAGGAUUGCAUGAGGGGACUGUAUGGCCACCUUAAAGGUGUGUGCGGCCCAAUGGGUGUGCGGCCGCACACUCAUGAUGAGUGAUGCCUUUGUGGUGUUUUCAAGGUCCAUACUUGCAUCCAUGAUGUGUUCUAGGUCUAUACUCGAUCGUAGUGCAAGUUAAGGGUCCUAGAAGUGGGUUUGCGGCCCUAGGAUGAGUGUGUGGUCGCACACAGGAGUGUGCUGCCGCACAUUAGGAGUGUGCAUCCGUACACAUGUGUGUGCGAUCGUACACUCCACAAGAUGAUGUUCAAAUUGUCCAUUUCAAGGUGCAACAAGGCUAUGGUCAUGUUUAUCUCGAGCAUGGAAGUCAAACUCUCACUUUAGAGGAUGUUUUAGGAGUGUGCAGUCACCCUAAAGGGGUGUGCGGCCGCACUCACUUCUAAACACGAAGAACAUGACGAAUAUUGCACACUUAUGGCUUAAAUAGAGUGGUCUUUCAUGGAUAUCUAGUUAGGGGAUGAGUUACUAAUGUUCUUGAAGCUUUGGAAGGUUCACAGUUGAAAAAACUUGAGAGAAUGGUGUAGUGUGCGGCCAAGGAGUGAAAGGAAUGAAAGGAAAGGGGUCUACCUUUUAUAUAGGGGAGAGAGUGCUGCCAAAGUGAGUGCGCGGAGAAGAGGUGAGUGUGCGGCCGCACACCCAUGUGUACGGCCGUACACUCCCCUUAAGGGUGUGUAUGGCCCAAUUUUCUCACUCUAAGGCUUGCUGACUCAUUCCUAAACUCAACCUUUGUCAUUCUCAAGCUUAGAACACUUAAAUAAACUCUUAAACAACUCUCAAGUUAACAGAACAAGUUUAACAUUGAUUGAAUUGACUAGGUGUACAAGAUGAAAGUUUCGGGUUGUCACCAAAACAAGCGACGAACACAUCGAUAGUGGAUCAAAACGGUCAAGAACUUCUGAAUCCGAACACACUUUAUCGGAUGCUCGUGUUGGUUUCGACCUCAACGAAGGUGAGUACGUUCAAGUGUCACCACCCCCCGACCAAUGGGACAAAACAAAAAACAAAGGCAAGGACAAGGACAAAGCGUCAGAAAAUUUGGCGUAAUAAAAGGCUUAGAAAUUUUGAGAAUCGUGUGUACACUUUCAGAUUAAAGUAUUUGGGUGGUACUUCCAACAUUUAAUCGGAUAAGACUCAAAAGAGUUUCAAGAACAUAGAAUAUGAAGUUAUGGUUUUCGUGAUUAUUGUGUGCGAUGCCAUCAUCCCGAGCUCUUCCCUUUGCUUGCGGAAGUACCUGAAACCAAAACUGAAACUGUAAGCACGAAGCUUAGUGAGCUCCCCCAAAAUACCACAUACCAUACAAUAGCAUAUAACACAUAUUGGGCCUUGCCCACUGCAUCGGGCCGAAACCCGGAAACUGCAUCGGACCGAAAUCCGGAACUGACUGGGACCUUGUCCCCUGCAUCGGACCCAAGUCCGGAACUAACUGCAUCGGACCGAAGUCCGGAACUGACUGCAUCGGACCGAAGUCCGGAACUAACUGGGACCUUGUCCCCUGCAUCGGACCGGAGUCCGGAACUAACUGACUGAACAUAUCAUAGCAUAUCAACUAGCAUGAACACAUAUACUGCAUACUACAUCGAGCCGUAGCCCGGAACACAUAACACGUAACACAUAAAACAUAGCACAUAAAUCCUGUCUGAGCCACGAAGGCAUCAAACAUACUAGCUGCUACAUCGGACCGAAGUCCGGAAACUACUGCUAACUGGACGGGCCGGCAUUGCGGCCUUAGACCCGUCCCUACUUGAAGGAAACUCACCUCGUAAACUGGCGGCUGAGUGUGUGUCUCUGAAAGCUACCGGCUGCUGCUCCUGAAUCUCCUCGGCUACAAGCCCAUGAACACACUCAAUCAAAUACUAAACACUGCACUUGGGGUAAAAUGACUCUUUUACCCUUGGUCAAAGUCAACUUACUUUUGGGGCUGACUCGCCGAGUUGGGUCACCCAACUCGCCGAGUCCUACUCUCACUUCUCAGUUCUACACGCUGCUACUCGUCGAGUGUGGCAUCGACUCGACGAGUACCCUCUUGAUCCAAGAACUCAGACAAUCUUCAUCCGACUCGCCGAGCCGUAUGAACAAACUCGACGAGUUGUUCAUGAUCCUAAGAAGAUUGUCUUGGACUCGCCGAGUUGUAUGAACAACUCGCCGAGUCCCUCCAUCACUGAGUCUACCCUCAACUCGCUGAGUCCACUCUCUAACUCACUGGAUUCACUCGACACUGGUCAAAAUGAAGGACUCGGGAACUCGCGACCCAACUCGCCGAGUCGUUCUUCCCGACUCGCCGAGUUGCCGCCAUGCAACUGAUUUUUACUCGAUUUUGUUUGAAUCCAACGCAUACAAUUGAUAGAUCUGAGUCCAAUAAGCUGAUUUACCACGUAAAGUUUCCAACUUUACGUGCACAACCUCAUGAAUAAGGGAAAUAAGGCUAAAAGAUGCAUAAAAUGGGUAGAUCUAUGAUUAUUAUGCAAAGUAACUCCAAAAAGACAGAAGAUAUGGGUUCUACAACACCCCAACAUUCAGAUCCAAAGGUAUUUCGACUUAUUAAGACAUUCAUGCAAACAUAAGGCUUGGAACAAACAUCAAUUAGCUCUUAGAAGAGCUCCAAUGGAAGUUUAGGGCAUAUAACAAGAGGGAACUCCGAAAAUACCUCAAAUAACUCAGAUUUGCCCUUGGAUCUUUGCACUUCAACUCUUCUCCUUGCUUCUUUCUUUUUAUCCUUCUUCACACCUUCACAAAAUGGCACAAAACACUUAGCUCACACAAGGGAGGAUUAGGGUUCUUUCUUACAGUGUUCACAAGGUGAGGGAGGCGAGAAUGGGGCUAUAAGGUGGUUUAAAUAGUGGGCAACCCGGGGAUUUAGGGUUUCACCCAGACGGAUAGACUCGCCGAGUCCAGAAUAUGGACUCGCCGAGUCCCCGGCUCACGCGUGCUCGCAGCCGCGACCCUACUCGGCGAGUCAGGCUAUGAACUCGCCGAGUUCCUCUUGCAAACUCAUAACAAAACCCAAUAAAUUAACAUACCGGGAACGGGUCGUUACAACUUGUCGAACCGGGUUAUUGAUUUGGAUUAUGUGUUUUGCCCGACUUGCUUGACAAAAAUUGAAUCAAUAGAUUUUGUCUUCUCGGCUUGUCUUGGUGUUUUUCGUAUUUGGCAGCUGAAUGCGGUGGUUUGUGAAUGUUUUGGUGGAGUUGAAUGUCGAUGCUAUUAUAUGUUGGUCGGAUCAAGUGUGAUAUUAUGUUGUACAACGAAAUCACUUUGAUGCAAUUGUGGUCACGACUCUUUGGGUGUUAUGGAAUUUCGGUAAUGCUCAAGUCUUUGGAAUGACAAAGCCCAAAAAGGCUUCCGUUUGCGAAGACAUAAUUGUUAGAUUUUUAUUUUGGAUUUGUAAUAGGAGGAAAAUUUGUAAGAUGAAGUGGGUUGUUUGGAUCGAAUACUCUUAUGUGGCUUGUACUUUGUAACAUCUCUAGCUCCUUGCUAGUUUUUAAUGUGGUUUGCUGUUAAAUAAACAUAUACAAUAUCGCCUUAAUAUUAUUGAAACGAAAAUAUUUGAAGGUGUCUUGUUGGUUUAAUACAGAUAAAAAGCUUUGGCUAACAUGUAAGUCUUGAUUCUUUGUCCUAAUUGUGGUUUGGCUAGAAAAAAAAAUUGGCCACGUUCUUAUUUUUUGUCUGAUUUGUGGUUUGGUUACAGAAGGAAUUGAAGACCUCGAUUCUUUAUUUGAUUUGUGGUUUGGUUACAGAAGAAAUUGGUCACAUUCUUAUUUAUUGUGAGGUAACUUCGACUUUGUGGGAGUAUAUUUGGAAGUGGUGUGAAUUACACCUAGUAUGUCUUGUUCGAGUGUGAAUGAGGUUAUCGAAUGGAUGGAUGUGGUCCAUCUUUCGGGUUCUAGACGAUCGAUUUUGAAAGCCAUCAUUAUAAAGAUUUGGUGAUUGAUUUGGAAGUAUAGAAAUGGUAUUGUUUUUUUGGGAAACUUAAUUCAAUUGGGAAAGGAUUCUUUAAUAGAUACCGUUGUUAAUUAUUCUUUUA
rnacentral:lncRNA from 1 species